UUGUAUUGUAUCAGUAAUUAUUGAUUUCUGCUUAUAAAUACAGCUCAGAGUCAUCGGAUUUUCAUCACAUCAAUUCAACAGAAUUGCAAUGAUGAAGCUGCUGUCAGCCUUCAUCCUUCUCCUGCUUCCUCUGCUGACCGGCUGUGAACCUUUCAUCCUUCCACUGGACUGCAGCGAUGUCUAUACCCAAGACACCAGUCGAACCAGUGGCGUGUACACCAUUUAUCCCAUUGGAGCCACGUCUGCUGUCCUGGUAUACUGUGACAUCGACUCACAAGGACAGUGGACGGUGAGUAUCUGAACUCCCAGCUU